rnacentral:rRNA from 1 species
GACGAACGCUGGCGGCGUGCCUAACACAUGCAAGUCGAGCGGAAAGGCCCUGCUUGCGUGGGGUUCUCGAGGGGCGAACGGGUGAGUAACACGUGAGUAACCUGCCCUGGACUUUGGGAUAACUUCAGGAAACUGGGGCUAAUACCGGAUAGGAGCUCCUGCAGCAUGGGGGGGGUUGGAACGUUUCGGCUGUGGGGGAUGGAGUCGCGGCUUAUCAGCUUGUUGGUGGGGUAGUGGCUUACCCAGGCUUUGACGGAUAGCCUGCCUGAGAGGGUGGACGGCCACAUUGGGACUGAGAUACGGAGCAGACUCGUACGGGAGGCAGCAGUGGGGAAUAUUGCACAAUGGGCGGGAGCCUGAUGCAGAAACGCCGCGUGCGGAAUGACGGCCUUCGGGUUGUGAACCGCUUUAGCCUGUGACGAAGCGUGAGUGACGGUAAUGGGUAAAGAAGCACCGGCUAACUACGUG